GGGCCCGCACAAGCGGUGGAGCAUGUGGUUUAAUUCGAUGAUACGCGAGGAACCUUACCAGGGCUUAAAUGUAAGUUGCAUAAGCUAGAGAUAGCUUUUUUCUUCGGACUACUUACAAGGUGCUGCAUGGUUGUCGUCAGCUCGUGCCGUGAGGUGUCAGGUUAAGUCCUAUAACGAGCGCAACCCCUGUUGUUAGUUGCCAUCGAGUAAUGUCGGGAACUCUAACAAGACUGCCGGUGCAAACCGUGAGGAAGGUGGGGAUGACGUCAAAUCAUCACGGCCCUUACGUCCUGGCUACACACGUGCUACAAUGGCCGGUACAGAGAGCAGCCACUACGCGAGUAG
rnacentral:rRNA from 1 species